rnacentral:rRNA from 1 species
CCCUUAGAUGUUCUGGGCCGCACGCGCGCUACACUGGUCGAUGCAACGAGUUUCUUUCCUUGGCCGACAGGCCUGGGCAAUCUUUGAACAUCGAUCGUGAUCGGGAUAGAUUCUUGUAAUUUUUGAUCUUAAACGAGGAAUUCCUAGUAAACGCAAGUCAUCAGCUUGCAUUGAUUACGUCCCUGCCCUUUGUACACACCGCCCGUCGCACCUACCGAUUGAAUGGUCCGGUGAAGCCUCCGGAUUGGCGCGCACCUCGGUGCCGCCGAGAAGUUGGCUAAACCUUACCAUUUAGAGGAAGGUGAAGUCGUAACA